rnacentral:rRNA from 1 species
GAUGAACGCUAGCGGCAGGCUUAACACAUGCAAGUCGAGGGGCAGCAUGAGACGGAGAUUCGUCGAAGUCUUGAUGGCGACCGGCGCAAGGGUGCGUAACGCGUGAGCAACUUGCCCGUUUCAGGGGGAUAACCGGUGGAAACGCCGACUAAUACCCCAUAGCAUCAGUUUGAGGCAUCUCUUACUGAUUAAAGAGUUUCGGAAACGGAUAGGCUCGCGUGACAUUAGCUAGAUGGCGGGGUAACGGCCCACCAUGGCGACGAUGUCUAGGGGUUCUGAGAGGAAGGUCCCCCACACUGGAACUGAGACACGGUCCAGACUCCUACGGGAGGCAGCAGUGAGGAAUAUUGGUCAAUGGCCGAGAGGCUGAACCAGCCAUGCCGCGUGAAGGUCACGGCCCUAUGGGUCUUAAACUUCUUUUGUAAGGGAGCAAUAAGGUCUACGUGUAGACUGAUGAGAGUACCUUACGAAUAAGCAUCGGCUAACUCCGUG